GACGAACCGUGCGAACGUUGUUCGGAAUCACUGGGCUUAAAGGGCGCGUAGGCGGGCUCACAAGUCAGGGGUGAAAGCCCACGGCUCGACCGUGGAAGAGCCUUUGAUACUGUGGGUCUCGAGGGAGGUAGGGGCGUGCGGAACUUCCGGUGGAGCGGUGAAAUGCGUAGAUAUCGGAAGGAACAUCGGUGGCGAAAGCGGCGCGCUGGACCUCUUCUGACGCUGAGGCGCGAAAGCCAGGGGAGCAAACGGG
rnacentral:rRNA from 1 species